rnacentral:rRNA from 1 species
CCUACGGGAGGCUGCAGUGGGGAAUAUUGGGCAAUGGGCGCAAGCCUGACCCAGCAACGCCGCGUGAAGGAAGAAGGCUUUCGGGUUGUAAACUUCUUUUGUCAGGGACGAAGCAGGUGACGUUACUUAACGAAUAAGCCACGGCUAACUACGGGCCAGCAGCCGCGGUAAUACGUAGGUGGCAAGCGUUAUCCGGAUUUACUGGGUGUAAAGGGCGUGUAGGCGGGACUGCAAGUCAGAUGGGAAGACCACGGGCUCAACCUGUGGCCUGCAUUUGAAACUGUAGUUCUUGAGUACUGGAGAGGCAGACGGAAUUCCUAGUGGAGCGGUGAAAUGCGUAGGUAUUAGGAGGAACACCAGUGGCGAAGGCGGUCUGCUGGACAGCAACUGACGCUGAGGCGCGAAAGCGUGGGGAGCAAACAGGAUUAGAUACCCGGGUAGUC